UCCGGGGGGGGCAAGCGUUGUUCGGAAUUCCUGGGCGUAAAGGGCUCGUAGGCGGCCAACUAAGUCGGAUGUGAAAUCCCCAGGCUCAACCUGGGAACUGCAUCCGAUACUGGAUGGCUUGAAUUCGGGAGAGGGAUGCAGAAUUCCAGGUGUAGCGGUGAAAUGCGUAGAUAUCUGGAGGAAUACCGGUGGCGAAGGCGGCAUCCUGGACCGACAUUGACGCUGAGGAGCGAAAGCCAGGGGAGCAAACGGG
rnacentral:rRNA from 1 species